GAGUUUGAUUCUGGCUCAGGAUGAACGCUGGCGGCGUGCCUAAUACAUGCAAGUUGAACGGACUUGGAGGGUGCUUGCACCUAACAAGUUAGUAGCGAACGGGUGAGUAAUACAUAAGCAACCUACCUAUUAGACUGGGAUAACUAUGGGAAACGAUAGCUAAUACCGGAUAGGUAACUUGAAGGCAUCUUUAAGUUAUUAAAGGUUAGAGACACUAAUAGAUGGGCUUAUGGCGUAUUAGUUAGUUGGUGAGGUAACGGCUCACCAAGACGAUGAUACGUAGCCGGCCUGAGAGGGUGAACGGCCACAUUGGGACUGAGACACGGCCCAGACUCCUACGGGAGGCAGCAGUAGGGAAUUUUCGGCAAUGGGCGCAAGCCUGACCGAGCAACGCCGCGUGAGUGAAGAAGGCCUUCGGGUUGUAAAGCUCUGUUAUAAAUUAAGAAUGGCUAUAAGGGAC
rnacentral:rRNA from 1 species